AAGACUAGAAAGGUGCUAUAUAAUUACAGUCCAUUUACCAUUUAAAUCCUGAUAAUGUUACAUAUUUUAAGAAUGUAUGUUUUUGUUGGAUUGGAUGUAUAAGAAUGUGAAGAGUUGGUGAAAGCUAUUAGUGAGAAAGAGAAAAGGUAGUCAAGGAAAGAAGGACUGUUGCAGGCCAAGUUGUGGCUCAUAGAAGCUAGGGCCAGAUAAGCAGGUAAGUCAGAGAAAGAAAAUAGAAGGAGAAGAGAAAGUUGCUAAGAGAAGAAAAUGCAAGUGAACAGAAAGAAGCUCAACGGAGCAGCGAAAAAACAAAUUAACAUAAAUCUUGUCUUAUUUUCUGCCCGAGACCCUCAAGGUGAUAACGGGUACGUGCCAUAUGGGCUCCGUCCGGAUUCUCCGCCUUGUCCCACGCCUCAACCUCCUCCUCCUACUCCUGCACCAUCAACUGCUCCGCCGCCUCCCGUCCACUCACCAUGAAAGGGAGAGAUGCCCCCCCGUUGGCAAUCUCCUCCAGAGACAAGACGCGGUACAGUAUAUAUAAAUGCAUUUUUGUGUUAUGAUAGUAACACUGGUGAACUUUUCUUCCGAGAUAACCAAGGAAGGGGGAGAGGACGUGGAGGUGGUGAGAACAGAAGAAUGGACAAUGAUGUGUGCUACAAUUGUGGAAAAUUUGGACACUAUGCAAGAGACUGCAGAGCUCCAAGGAGGAGAGGAAGGAGGGGAGGAUGGAGAGCGGGAGGAGGCGAAGGAGCGGAGCAUGGCCCUGGCAGGACAGGAGAGAAAAGGAUCGCACCGCAUGACUAACUCCAGAAACAGCCUGUCUCCACAGUUGAUGAGUUCAAGAGGCAUGAGAUGACUGAAGGACAAGGUGUGGUUAGAUACGAGAAUGAGGACGAGUACGAAGAAUGGGUCCAGUUCAGCGAGUAGAAGAGUCAAUCUACGCGCCCAUGGGAGGAGAAACACCUACUGAGAAAGACACACUGUUUAGUUUGUUCCACAGCAC